GUUAAUCAUCAGAUCAUUCAUGCAUGGAUGAGGAGGAUGAUAAAGACUUUGACAUUGGCCAUUGGAGUCAAAGUUCCUGGAACAGUGAAAUGGAACAAGGAACAACUGCUACAGACACAGGGAAUGCAGACCUCCUUAAUUCAGAGGAAAAGAACAGCAAUGGAACUAUGCAACAAAGUUGUGGAGCGCACUGGUGAGCUGAGAGGUGAACAGCCAGGUGCAGAAUCCCAAAGACCUACUGUGAUAACUGGAAAAGCAAAAAGAUGUCAGCUGUGCCCUACAGGAAAACAACCCAUACGUUCUAUCAAUGUUGUGCAACUAGUGAAUGGAAUGUGCAGUUUUCAUAUGUGAAGACUGCCUUGAGUGUGACAGUUGAAGCAAAGAUGAUUUCUGUGUUGGACUUUUGUCUGUAUUUGCAUUGUAGUUCAUAUAGGUCUUUAUUUCUGAUGUUAUCUUCUAGGUUCUGUAAGUAAACAGUUGAUGUGACAAUACUGAUGUCUAUGCUAAGUGCUCAUUACGUAUUUGAUAGUUUAUUUUAUGGCAUCUUAUUUUCCUGCUAAGUGCACAUUGUACAACACAGUAGGAAGCUCCUGAGGUGAGCUCCUGAGGAGAGGUGACAAGAAUGGCCUGUCACAUAGGAGAAGACAUGUUCUGUCAGUAUAAGUGAGAAGUGCACAUGGAGCAUGCAUUUGUCAUGCAUAAAGAUUGCCUUGGGCGUGACAACUGAAGCAAAGAUUUUUUUGUAAAGUUCUAUUGGUAUUUUCAUUGUAAUUUAUAUAAGAAUUUACUUCUGAUGUUAUCUUUUAGGUUUUGUAAACAAGUACACAGCUGGUAAGAAUAUGUUGAUGUUUAAACAUGCAAUACAUAUGAAGAAUUUAAUACUUUAUGUUCCUGUUAACUACACAUUGUAUAAUGUAAGAACCUCAUGACAAAACAGCAAGAUGUCUAGUAUGUCUAUAAAAAUACCAGGAAAGCAAAAACACAUGUGCUGUCAUGUAAGCAGUACAUGUAUAUGGAACAUGCUGUUGUGAUGUGUGUAGACUGCCUUAGGUAUGGUAAUUGAAGCAAAGAUUUUUGUAGAGUUGUAUUGGUAUUUUCAUUGUAGUCCAUACAGA
rnacentral:lncRNA from 1 species